GCAUAUCAAUAAGCGGAGGAAAAGAAACUAACAAGGAUUCCCCUAGUAACUGCGAGUGAAGCGGGAAAAGCUCAAAUUUAAAAUCUGGUAGUCUUUGGCUGCCCGAGUUGUAAUCUAGAGAAGCGCUAUCCGCGUUGGACCAUGUAUAAGUCUCCUGGAAUGGAGCGUCAUAGAGGGUGAGAAUCCCGUCUUUGACAUGGACUACCAGUGCUUUGUGAUGCGCUCUCAAAGAGUCGAGUUGUUUGGGAAUGCAGCUCUAAAUGGGUGGUAAAUUCCAUCUAAAGCUAAAUAUUGGCGAGAGACCGAUAGCGAACAAGUACCGUGAGGGAAAGAUGAAAAGAACUUUGGAAAGAGAGUUAAACAGUACGUGAAAUUGUUGAAAGGGAAACGCUUGAAGUCAGUCGCAUUGGCCAGGGAUCAACCUUGCUUUUGCUUGGUGUACUUCCUGGUCUAUGGGUCAGCAUCAAUUUUGACCGGUGGAAAAAKUUCGAGGAAAUGUGGCAUCUUCGGAUGUGUUAUAGUCUUCGGUCGCAUACAUCGGUUGGGAUUGAGGAACUCAGCACGCCGCAAGGCCGGGGUUUUGCCCACGUCCGUGCUUAGGAUGCUGGCAAUAAUGGCUUUAAUCGACCCGUCUUGAAACACGGACC
rnacentral:rRNA from 1 species